UGGAGAUGCCCCUGACUGACUUGGUU
rnacentral:piRNA from 1 species